rnacentral:snRNA from 1 species
AUACUUACUUUCGGAUGCGGUUUCGAGGAUCAAGAACUUCGAUCCGCCGUGUGAAGGUCUGGCCAUUGCACAUCGGUCUACGGCUGACGUACGCUUUCUAUUCACAUGAAUAGAAGAGAUCCGCUAAUUUCUUGACGCUGGCUUGCGUUCGCGCAGGCCAUU